CUUCCAUUAAGGUGUUUGAUAAUGAGUCCAUUAACUCAAUAAUCAUUGCAGACCCAAAGGCCUGGUGCUUGUUGACUAAUGGAAUUAUCACUCAUCAUAUGAUGACUUGGAAGUGUCUCUCUAAUGGUGGUUAGGUGAGCCAACCAAAGUUGGGCUUAAUAAUUUGUUGGUUAGAUACACCAAGUAUGAUCAUGUUAAUGGUUGGACCUAAUCGGAUCCUUACAGUGGAGGCCAAAGCCUACUGAUUAGGUUUCUGGGGCAAAAUUAAAAUUACUAGAAAUUAUUUAGAAAAACAAUUGAUUAUGAACCUACCCUUAGAUG
rnacentral:lncRNA from 1 species